rnacentral:rRNA from 1 species
UACGAAGGGGGCUAGCGUUGUUCGGAAUUACUGGGCGUAAAGCGCACGUAGGCGGAUUGGCAAGUUAGGGGUGAAAUCCCGGGGCUCAACCCCGGAACUGCCUUUAAAACUGCCGGUCUUGAGUUCGAGAGAGGUGAGUGGAAUUCCGAGUGUAGAGGUGAAAUUCGUAGAUAUUCGGAGGAACACCAGUGGCGAAGGCGGCUCACUGGCUCGAUACUGACGCUGAGGUGCGAAAGCGUGGGGAGCAAACAGG